AUACGGAGGGGGUUAGCGUUGUUGGGAAUUACUGGGCGUAAAGCGCACGUAGGCGGACUGGAAAGUUGGGGGUGAAAUCCCGGGGCUCAACCCCGGAACUGCCUCCAAAACUUCCAAUCUAGAGAUCGAGAGAGGUGAGUGGAAUUCCAAGUGUAGAGGUGAAAUUCGUAGAUAUUUGGAGGAACACCAGUGGCGAAGGCGGCUCACUGGCUCGAUACUGACGCUGAGGUGCGAAAGCGUGGGGAGCAAACAGGAUUAGAAACCCUAGUAGUCC
rnacentral:rRNA from 1 species